AGCUCCAAUAGCGUAUAUUAAAGUUGUUGCAGUUAAAAAGCUCGUAGUUGGAUCUCGGGUCCAGGCUUGCGGUUCUACUCGUGUAGACACUGCUUGUCCUGACCUACCUGCCGGUUUUCCCUUGGUGCCCUUGACUGGGUGUCUCGGGUGGCCGGAACGUUUACUUUGAAAAAAUUAGAGUGUUCAAAGCAGGCAGCUCGCCUGAAUAAUGGUGCAUGGAAUAAUAGAAAAGGACCUCGGUUCUAUUUUGUUGGUUUUCGGAACUUGAGGUAAUGAUUAAGAGGGACAGACGGGGGCAUUCGUAUUACGGUGUUAGAGGUGAAAUUCUUGGAUCGCCGUAAGACGAACUACUGCGAAAGCAUUUGCCAAGAAUGUUUUCA
rnacentral:rRNA from 1 species